GCCAGUGUGGCUCAGUGGAUAGAGCAUCAGCCUGUGAACUGAAGGGUCCCGGGUUCGAUUCCCGGUCAGGGCA
rnacentral:tRNA from 1 species